rnacentral:tRNA from 1 species
AGUUAAACCUUAGAAAGUAUUGUGUUUUGAAAGCACUAAUUAGAGGUUAAAUUCCUCUUUUAACUU